rnacentral:rRNA from 1 species
CCUACGGGAGGCAGCAGUGGGGAAUAUUGGACAAUGGGGGAAACCCUGAUCCAGCAAUGCCGCGUGAGUGAUGAAGGCCUUAGGGUCGUAAAGCUCUUUUACCAGGGAUGAUAAUGACAGUACCUGGAGAAUAAGCUCCGGCUAACUCCGUGCCAGCAGCCGCGGUAAUACGGAGGGAGCUAGCGUUGUUCGGAAUUACUGGGCGUAAAGCGUGCGUAGGCGGUUAUUCAAGUCAGAGGUGAAAGCCCGGGGCUCAACCCCGGAACGGCCUUUGAAACUAGAUAACUAGAAUCUUGGAGAGGUCAGUGGAAUUCCGAGUGUAGAGGUGAAAUUCGUAGAUAUUCGGAAGAGCACCAGUGGCGAAGGCGACUGACUGGACAAGUAUUGACGCUGAGGCACGAAAGCGUGGGGAGCAAACAGGAUUAGAUACCCUGGUAGUCCACGCCGUAAACGAUGAUAACUAGCUGUCCGGACACUUGGUUGUUUGGGGUGGUCGGCGAGCUAACGACAUUAAGUUAUCCGUCCGUCGGGUAGGUACGGUCGGCGAAGAAGUUAAAACUAACAAAUAGAAGUUAGUACGGCGUGAGACGUGCCGAACGGACGACGACGAGGGAGUAGG